rnacentral:misc_RNA from 1 species
UAAAAGGUAAUAUCCAGCAAGUUACCGUAUUAAAAGUAAUAUCCUAAUAUUUUUCCAAUCCAUUAGUGUUAGAUAGAUUACUAACAUAUUUCCAAGAACAUUAAGAAUUGGGCAUCCAGUAAGAUACUAACACUAUGAGAAGUUCGUUCUUCAGAAGAAUUGGUCAAGUACUCGGGCUCCAAUUCUGUCCAGGUCACCAUUGCAGCAUUGAUAUUCCUCCACCAUGAUAACCAUCCUUUUCAAUCUUCACAAUAUUGUCAGCAUACUUAAAGGCGUGUCAUACUCGGCAGGCUAGUUAUACGUCUUCUUCUCUUCCUUCUUAGCUGCAGCUGCCAUUUCUCUUUGCUUCUUCAGUCCCCAGCUUCAAUGGCAUUUCUAGCAGCAAUCCGGAAAUCAUUAACAAUUUGAGGAAUUUCGUUUGUGCUCAGCCGUCGUGGUGGAGUGUGAGUUUUCACUGGCUUGUCUGUGCUGGAGAUAGGAACUUGUCCAUUGGGCUGGAAAUCUUUGGUAGAUAUCCUCCCUGUAUGCCAAAGUUGGCAAAAAAAGAUUCCUCCUUUGUCAUGGACAGCACUUACAAUUGGUUUCCAGGCCUCAAUUUGAUCUUUCCUCCAUAUACCAGGUGUAUCUUUGUACCCAUAGGCAGUGUCAGAAACUCCUGUAGCUUCUGAAAUAAGAAAACUGCCUAUUGUGGUUCGUUGCGAGUAAUAGAGGAUAGCAUGUGGUUGAGGAACAUUGCCAUAUGAUCUUGUCCUUGUUAAUGGUGCCAACACAACUCUAUGAGAAAGUUGAAAGUUACCCAUUUUAUAGGGUGUGAGCAAAGGAUUUUUCAUUUCAAGCUUUCUCCACUAUUUUGACCUUCACUGCAAUUCUUGCACUAAAAUGCAAAAGGUGUUGUUAGUAUACGAACUAUACUAUAGACUGCAAGGAGAAAGUAAAGAGUUAUGCUCAUAUGAAUAAUACUAGAGGUGUGUUUAUUUGAAAAACAAUAAUACUAAAGUUAGUGAAAAAUAAACAAUGUGUUUAAAUUUGGAUUCAGAGAGUUACUAGAUAGCUAUGUACAUUCUAUUUAGAUAUUAACAACAAUUUAUUAAGCUGAAGGUUAGUUAGGGUGUCUUUUCGUUUUAUCUUCGACAAGAACAUUGGUCCCUGUUACAUGAGGUAAACAAGGCACGAAGUUAGCAUUAGAAAAAUAUAAGAUAAAAAAUGUUGAGUAGAUAUAGUAGCAUUUGUAUGGGAAAAAAAUACACAGACCAAUUACAGAGAUGAAGGAGGUUGAAGAUAAAGCCACAGAACACAUUUAAAUAAUUUAGUAUGUCUGCUCUUUGUCAUUAAAUUGA